rnacentral:rRNA from 1 species
AUUGAACGCUGGCGGCAUGCCUUACACAUGCAAGUCGAACGGCAGCACGGGUGCUUGCACCUGGUGGCGAGUGGCGAACGGGUGAGUAAUACAUCGGAACAUUUCCUGUAGUGGGGGAUAGCCCGGCGAAAGCCGGAUUAAUACCGCAUACGAUCCACGGAUGAAAGCGGGGGACCUUCGGGCCUCGCGCUAUGGGGUUGGCCGAUGGCUGAUUAGCUAGUUGGUGGGGUAAAGGCCUACCAAGGCGACGAUCAGUAGCUGGUCUGAGAGGACGACCAGCCACACUGGGACUGAGACACGGCCCAGAAUCCUAAGGGAGGCAGCAGUGGGGAAUUUUGGACAAUGGGCGAAAGCCUGAUCAAGCAAUGCCGCGUGUGUGAAGAAGGCCUUCGGGUUGUAAAGCACUUUUGUCCGGAAAGAAAUCCUUGACUCUAAUACAGUCGGGGGAUGACGGUACCGGAAGAAUAAGCACCGGCUAACUACGUG